GACGAAGGGGGCUAGCGUUGUUCGGAAUUACUGGGCGUAAAGGGCGCGUAGGCGGUUCUUUAAGUCAGGCGUGAAAGCCCUGGGCUCAACCUGGGAGUGGCGCUUGAUACUGAGGAACUAGAGAGUGGGAGAGGUUGGUGGAAUUCCCAGUGUAGAGGUGAAAUUCGUAGAUAUUGGGAAGAACACCCGUGGCGAAGGCGGCUCUCUGGGACGGUACUGACGCUGAGACGCGAAAGCGUGGGGAGCGAACAGG
rnacentral:rRNA from 1 species